AUUCCAGCUCCAAUAGCGUAUAUUUAAGUUGUUGCAGUUAAAAAGCUCGUAGUUGGACCUUGGGUCGUCACGGUCGGUCCGCCUUCUUGGUGUGCACUGGCCCUCACGUCCCUUCUGCCGGCGGCGUGUUCCUGGCCUUAAUUGGCUGGGUCGCGGUUCCGGCGCCGUUACUUUGAAAAAAUUAGAGUGCUCAAAGCAAGCCUACGCUCUGAAUACAUUAGCAUGGAAUAACGCGAUAGGAGUCUGGUCCUGUUCCGUUGGCCUUCGGGACCGGAGUAAUGAUUAAUAGGGACUGUCGGGGGCAUUCGUAUUUCAUUGUCAGAGGUGAAAUUCUUGGAUUUAUGAAAGACGAACUUCUG
rnacentral:rRNA from 13 species